UACGAAGGGGGCUAGCGUUGUUCGGAAUUACUGGGCGUAAAGGGCUUGUAGGCGGCCAACUAAGUCAGACGUGAAAUCCCUCGGCUUAACCGGGGAACUGCGUCUGAUACUGGAUGGCUUGAGAUUGGGAGAGGGAUGCGGAAUUCCAGGUGUAGCGGUGAAAUGCGUAGAUAUCUGGAGGAACACCGGUGGCGAAGGCGGCAUCCUGGACCAACACUGACGCUGAGGAGCGAAAGCCAGGGGAGCAAACGGG
rnacentral:rRNA from 1 species